GUGCCAGCCGCCGCGGUAAUACGUAGGACACGAGCGUUAUCCGGAUUUACUGGGCGUAAAGAGCGUUGAGGCGGUUCUGUAAGUUGGACGUGAAAGCCCCUGGCCUAACUGGGGGACGCCGUUCAAUACUGCAGGACUUGAGGGCAGCAGAGGGAGGUGGAAUUCCCGGUGUAGUGGUGAAAUGCGUAGAUAUCGGGAGGAACACCAGUGGCGAAAGCGGCCUCCUGGGCUGCACCUGACGCUGAAGGCGAAAGCUAGGGGAGCGAACGGGAUUAGAAACCCCUGUAGUCC
rnacentral:rRNA from 1 species